UAUGCUCCUAUUAUUGUAAGAAUUGAAUGGAACAGAACUAUUACACUCUCAAUGGAGUGGACAUCGAGUUCUUCUGCUAGUAAGCACGAUCGGGUAGAAGGUAGAAGGCGCCAACAGACAGAUUAUAGUUCGGUGUUAGAUGAACCCGUGAGAGAUCGGGUAGAAGGUAGAAGGCGC